AUACGGAGGAUCCGAGCGUUAUCCGGAUUUAUUGGGUUUAAAGGGUGCGUAGGCGGACUAGUAAGUCAGUGGUGAAAUCCUGCAGCUUAACUGUAGAAUUGCCGUUGAUACUGUUAGUCUUGAGUACAUUUGAGGUAGGCGGAAUGUGGUGUGUAGCGGUGAAAUGCAUAGAUAUACCACAGAACACCGAUUGCGAAGGCAGCUUACUAAACUGUAACUGACGCUGAGGCACGAAAGCGUGGGUAUCAAACAGGAUUAGAUACCCUGGUAGUCCACGCUGUAAACGAUGAUUACUGGUUGUUUGCGAUACAUUGCAAGUGACUGAGCGAAAGCAUUAAGUAAUCCACCUGGGGAGUACGUCGGCAACGAUGAAACUCAAAGGAAUUGACGGGG
rnacentral:rRNA from 1 species